rnacentral:rRNA from 1 species
AACGAACGCUGGCGGCAGGCUUAACACAUGCAAGUCGAACGCCCGUAGCAAUACGGGAGUGGCGGACGGGUGAGUAACGCGUGGGAACGUGCCCUGAGGUACGGAAUAACUGCGGGAAACUGCAGCUAAUACCGUAUGAGCCCCGCAAGGGGGAAAGAUUUAUCGCCUUAGGAGCGGCCCGCGUCGGAUUAGCUAGUUGGUGGGGUAACGGCUUACCAAGGCUUCGAUCCGUAGCUGGUCUGAGAGGACGAUCAGCCACACUGGGACUGAGACACGGCCCAGACUCCUACGGGAGGCAGCAGUGGGGAAUCUUGCGCAAUGGGGGCAACCCUGACGCAGCCAUGCCGCGUGAAUGAUGAAGGCCUUAGGGUUGUAAAGUUCUUUUGCCCGUGACGAUGAUGACGGUAACGGGAGAAUAAGCUCCGGCUAACUUCGUGCCAGCCGCCGCUGUAA